AGCGUGUGGUUUAAUUCGUUGCUACACGAAGAACGUUACCUGGGUUUGACAUAUAGGUUGUAGGGAACUGAAAGGGACCGACCCUUCGGGGAGCCUAUACAGGUGUUGCAUGGCUGUCGUCAGCUCGUGUCGUGAGAUGUUCGGUUAAGUCCGCUAACGAGCGCAACCCUCGUCGUAUGUUAUAUGUGUCAUACGAGACUGCCGGUAAAAGCCGGAGGAAGGUGAGGAUGAUGUCAAGUCAGCAUGACCUUUAUAUCCAGGGCUACACACACGCUACAAUGGUCUGUACAAUGGGUAGCCAAGCCGCGAGGCGGAGCCAAUCCUGAAAGCAGGCCUCAGUUCAGAUUGCAGUCUGCAACUCGACUGCAUGAAGCCGGAGUUGCUAGUAACCGCAGGUCAGCAAUACUGCGGUGAAUACGUUCCCGGGUCUU
rnacentral:rRNA from 1 species